rnacentral:lncRNA from 1 species
GAAGAAAUGGGAAUCUGGUUUAGAGAUAGAGGAGACUAUUGGUUCUUUUCAGGUUGAUGGUAGAAGAAUUAUGAAAGCUGCUUCAGGGAAACACAGAUCUUCCCUUUCCUGUUACAUACUCAUUCCUAAAGAAUCCUAGUUUAGGGCCUGGGAGAUUGGACACAUAGUUAACAGAGACACAAGACUUGUAACCCAGGAGUCUGGUGGUUCCCACUAUGUGUGAGUCUGUUUUUGAGCCAGCAUAACAUUAAAGUAGACUCAGCCUCUUUUGGCUCUACCCCCAAAGAAUCUGCUGUCCCCAAAGGCAUUGUUUAGAGGCAGGCGACAAAGUACAAAAUUCUUAGGGGUGGUGAAGGAAUUUAUAGAGCUGCCUCUGAGAACACUUGCUCAAAUCAGGAUCGAUGUGCAUGUUCCCUGGUGUUCUCGCCCUGCCCCAGCCUGUCACUGGCAGGCACUGUCUCUCCAUUCUUCCCACCCCAGCCUGGCCUCUCUUGUGCCGAGUAAUCCUGCUCUGCCUGACACGUGCUUUUCCAUGCUCAGCGAAGCAAGGCCGUUGACAGGCCCAGCCUCCUUGGGAGAUGGUUUAAUGUGUUGCUUUUGCUACUCAACAAUGCCCUGUGGAGUAUUGCUCACUCCUAUUUGUAUAAACAACCCCCUCAUGUAUCUCUUCCAAGCACGCACAGCAUUCUUUCCCUGGCAGUUUUGGUUGUAACUUUGUCUCUUUCAGUACAGAAGCUGAAGUGGGUGUGGCUGGGAAGGCCUGAAGUUACUGCAGAGCUAGGAUUUGAACCUGGGUUUUGUGACUCCCAGUCUAAUGCUUCUUCCACAGUAUCAGAUGGUGUGGGCUGCAGGUCUCUGCAGGUGAGGGCUUCUGGCUCAGCUGCUGGGGAGUAAGCACCAAGUAGGCACUUGGGCCAGAAAAACCAGGGUUGCUAAGGAAA